UGGGUGGUAUCCUUAGGGAACUGCACUGUUUUAUUAUAUUCAACAAGAUUAAUUUUGACUUUAUAUCAAUAUCUGCUCAUAUCACAAUGAAUGAGACUACUAU
rfam:Clostridium sp. HMP27 Clostridium-HMP27_contig_43, whole genome shotgun sequence.